CUUCCUGUAAUUUAGAAUCGAUUCGUGGUUUUAGAAAACGAAUUAAUGCAAAAACUAGAAAAUUGUGAUAUUACGAUGGAACUGGCGAGUAAUUAGCGAAGCUUUUUAAUACGAAGAGAGUAUCUACGGUAUGGUUAUCUAGAGAUUGAGCUCGUAUCAAGAUAAAUCGAAUACCGUUCCGAUUACCAACCUGAUACUGUUGAUAUUCCGACACCAAAUCGAGCACAUUGGACUCAGCUUCGGAAAACUCCAUCUCAUCCAUUCCUUCUCCGGUAUACCAGUGUAAGAAAGCUUUCCUUUUAUACAUAGCCGAAAAUUGUUCGCCGAUUCUCUUAAAUAAUUCUUGAAUAGCUGUAGUGUUUCCGAUAAACGUUGCGCUCAUUUUCAGUCCACAAGGAGGUAUAUCACAUACUGCAGUUUUCACGUUGUUUGGAAUCCAGUCUACGAAGUAAUUACUAUUUUUGUGCUGAAUGAAUAACAUUUGUUCGUCUAUCUCUUUCAUGGACAUUCGACCUCUGGAAAAAGAAUCCAGAAAUGGAAAAUCAAUUUCUCGUGGAAAUGACAUCAGAGAAAAAUAAAUAUUCGACGAUGGUUGAGCACGAGCACGAUGCACGAAGAAUAGGCUACCAUCAUGUUCCUAGCGUCAAACAUUUGUUUAGUCAGCUCCGGUACAGAAAGCGAACGAUACGAUUGACUGUUUCGAGAAGUCAACGGUGCGAAUCCAGGCAAAAAGAAAUGCAAUCUAGGGAAAGGCACCA